rnacentral:rRNA from 1 species
GACGAACGCUGGCGGCGUGCUUAACACAUGCAAGUCGAACGGAAAGGCCCUGCUUUUGUGGGGUGCUCGAGUGGCGAACGGGUGAGUAACACGUGUGUAACCUGCCCUUGACUUUGGGAUAACUUCAGGAAACUGGGGCUAAUACCGGAUAGGAGCUCCUGCUGCAUGGGGGGGGUUGGAAAGUUUCGGCGGUUGGGGAUGGACUCGCGGCUUAUCAGCUUGUUGGUGGGGUAGUGGCUUACCAAGGCUUUGACGGGUAGCCGGCCUGAGAGGGUGACCGGCCACAUUGGGACUGAGAUACGGCCCAGACUCCUACGGGAGGCAGCAGUGGGGAAUAUUGCACAAUGGGCGGAAGCCUGAUGCAGCAACGCCGCGUGCGGGAUGACGGCCUUCGGGUUGUAAACCGCUUUCGCCUGUGACGAAGCGUGAGUGACGGUAAUGGGUAAAGAAGCACCGGCUAACUACGUG